AUGACCUGGGCCAAAGGCAGAUGCUUAACUCACUGAGCCACCCAGGUUCCCCUCAAACUUAGAAUUCUAAGCAGUAGCUGCAGAUUGCUGAUUGGGAAGCGAAUAGCCCGCGCUAUCUAGGCUUGGGCUCAUCAAGAAAACUUUCUGUGUUAUCUUGAUACCAGAAUAUUAUUCAAGAAUUUGAAGACGGUUAAUGAUACCAGCCCACAGAAGCCUGUCAUUUUUUGUUAAUUACAAACACACCUCUGACCUCCUGUCACUCAGCUUCUCCCUGUUUCUCCCCAACCAAUGAGUGUCAUCACCCAGCUUCUCCCUGUUUCUCCCCAACCAAUGAGUGUCAUCCCAGCUAUCUUUUCUGUAAAAACACUCUAUACUCCAGAUGUUUUCUUUUAUUUUUUUUAAGAUUUCUUUAUUCAUGAGAGACACACAGAGAGGCAGAGACACAGGCAGAGGGAGAAGCAGGCUCCCUGUGGGGAGCCCAAUGUGGGACUCAAUCCCAGGACCCUGGGAUCAUGACUUGAGCCAAAGGCCGAUGCUCAACUGCUGAGCCACCCAGGUGCCCCUACUCUAGAUGUUCUAAACUAUUUUGUCCCAUGGAUCUUUUUGCUAGUCAGGUGAAGCCUAUGAAUCUUUUUUUGGAAUAAUAUUUUUAAAUGCAUCAAAUAAUAUCUGUUGUUAUAAUAAAUGUGAAAUAAUAUGGUCUGCAUUUUAAAAUUCAGGAUAUACCAAUUAUAUUUAAGUAGUCAUCACAGUUAAAGUAUUUGUUUUAUAGUAACAUGUAGGCUUCUUUAUGAACAUAUCAAAUUAUAAGAUCUAGCAGAAAUUUAAUAACUACUGUAAUAUUGAAGUGGUAAUGAAUAUAAAUGACAUUUUGUGAUGUUUGCAACAAUUGCAACAUGAUAUAAAAAUACCUGUGAUUUCCAUUGAUGACAGUUACAGUUACUGUUAAUAAUUUUGCAGUUUGUUGUUUACAUUCAAACUUGAGAGAAAUGCUAAAUUUCAGCUCGAGAUGAAUGCAGAUAAGGAUGUAGUUAUUUUCCCAGCCAAAUACUCAGAACCCUUGAAUUCUAUCUCUAGACUCCUCCCUUCUAAGAGGUGAAGCAUGGGCUCUAGGGUCAGGGUCUGUGCCAAAAUCUUCUAUUUCCACUCCUGUGAUCUUAGCCAUGUAACUUGAGUGUGCUUUGGUUUUCUUGUCUAAGUGGUAAUAAUACCAUUAUUGGUCCAUCGUUAUGAUACAGGUGCUGCUUGAUGGCACCAGCUCUCAGUGGUGUCCUGGCUGGUGUCUGUCCCACCCUGUGCCUUUGGCUGUUUCAUUAUGACUUCACUCUGGGCUUAUGAUGUACAGAUGGUUGUUGGACAAACUGCACAACUCACAGUGGGAUGGGGGGCUGAGUAUUUGAAUCUUCUGGCUGAGGGAGUGUAGGGAGCCAGCUUUACCUUCCUGCGUGACUACUUCAGAGAUCCACAAAUGAGCAGCCUGGCUCACGCUUGAUGGUUCCAGUCAAAAUUGUGUGUGCAGCCUGGCCCAUUGCCCGUGGCAGUCUACCUGCCACGAUGGGAAAGACGGUCUAGAUGGAGAAGAAAAGGAAGCACUGUUGUACGGAGCGCUCCCCUGGGUGCGUGCUCUCAGAGAUGCUCCCAGAGAUUCGUGCCAGGUGGAGAACACCAAAUACUCCAGCAAAUUAGCAUGCAAGGCAUUUAAGGAACUUGGUUUUCAGGAGGAUGAUACGUUUUGGACAUGAAAUGAAGUACACUUUCCUCCCUGGCUAACACUGCCCUGUUUUGAACUUUUCUGCGCAGAGCUCGGCAUGAAGACAGCUACUGAGAAAUUUAACCUGUAAUCCGAGUUUGGCUAAUUCAAGCAAGUUUUGGCCUUUGGUCAAGAGGCAGCAGAGAAGGAACAUUUUGGUGGUAUUGAUCUGGGAUUCUGUAAAGAUACCUCAAUUGUGUGAAACUCUGGCAUUAGUGUCUGAUUUCCCAGAAGAACUUUUAUGAGCCUCUCCUGAGUCAAAGAUUCCCUGCAGGACCAUCCAGAAUUAUGACUCAAGCUUGGUUGAUGAUGUUGAUGAUGGUAACUAUGGAGUUCCUUCUGUGUUUCAAACUCAUUACAUAUAUUGCCUCAUUUAAACACCACCACAAGUCUAUGUUGAAAGUACUGCUACUGUUUCAGGACAGUGAGGUCACAAAAGUAAACAGCUCACACAUGGUCAGUGUGCGUCUGAUGCAAUGUUGGCUGACGCUCCCUCUUGCCGGCUCCCGCUAUUGAACCAGACCCAAGUGCAAUGUUUAAUAGCUUUAAGGAUGAUCCAGCCUGCUUCUACCCCACUGUGUUUUCCUCUUCAUCACCUUGGCUUUGCUUCUCCCAGAGUGAGAUGGAACUGUUUGAGCCUAAUUAUUUCUGUCCCAUUGCUGGUGCUUUUGGUGUCAUGUAGAAGAUACCUAUUGCCUAACCCAAGGUCAUAAGGGUUUUCUUCUAUUAUCCACGCACCAGGUAGACAUCUCCAGUGAACCUACUCAGCUUUUAACAACAGAUUGAGUCCAAGUCUCUUUGUACAGGAACCUAUGCAAACCAGUUGGUUUCCACAAGGUUGUCUGAGAAAUGUAGCAGCCAUACCAGGAUAUUUUUCAAAUCCAAGUUAAAUGAAAUGGAAACAAAUUUCCAAGGGAAAAAUGCAACAGGAAUCCAUCAGGAGACGGGGCUUCUAAGCCAACUUUGUGACCAGGUUCCCUUCUCUUAGUUGACAACAGUACAGCUCUAGAACUGCAGAGAUGAUCAUAAAACCUUCCCUCAUUGAAUUCCCUCAGAGCCACCAAGUCUCUCCACUGCCCUAUCAAGAAAAACUUCAUCAGUACAUCCUGACAUGUCAUCUGUGGAUGACAAGAUUUCACUGUGAUGAUUUCCUUGAAACUUCAAAGAUAGAAUUCAACUGAAGCAAAUCAGUGAAUAUUUUUAAAAAUUAACUUGGCAUUAAUACUUGUUUAGCAUCGGUGAAAGGUAGAGAGAUUUUGAGCAUAAGGAAACUAAUUUUGAUGGAGAAAACCUCUUUGAUCCAGAAUUGUACUGAACAUAUUAGAUGCACUAUUGUUCUAAUCUUCAGCAUUCCAUGAGAAGAAUUUGAGGCUAAGAUGUUCAGAUGGCUUACCUGAUACCAAAACCAACAUCUCACCCCCAAAGUGGCAGGACCAGUGUUUGAUUCCCCCCAGUCUAAAUACCACUGUUUUUCAUUUAAAUCCAAUUGCCUCAUGGUAAAAUCCUUCUAUUUGAAAAGAGGGGUUUUGACAUCGAUCUAUAGGAUAGACAUCAUUCAACUGAUACUUCAUAAUUACCCAUAGGAGUAGAUUAUCAUAGUGACAAGUGAAGGGGAAAGGGGCUAUUUGAAAAAUAACGUGGAGAUUGCUUUGGCUCUCUUUGAUGGACUCAAAGACAUGGAAAAUGGAAACCAGAAACAGAGAAAAAAAUAAAUCCUUUGUGGGCAGGAGCUCUUAAGCCCUGCAGCCCAGGGGUACAGCAUAUAGUCAGCUCUCAAGAAAGACUCCAGGAUGCCACUCACAGGCUUUCUCUAGCCACGUGGCCACAGUCCCCUUGCACAGGAUGGAAUUCCAUUCCCUUCAUUCUCUGUGCACAUUCUCUACGUGUCUCCUUAUUCUCUGGUUCUUCUCACUCUUCAUCUCUCCAGAGAACCUAGCCAUCAGUUCCAGCCCUCAAAGCCCUAAUGCUGACCCCCAUGGCCUCAUUCUUGGAGGCACGGGCUGCAGCACGGUUCUCCUCGUUUAUCCCCACCUCUUGUGUCUAGGGUUUCUGUCAGUACCAUGAGGGCACGACAUGGAUGCUCUGCCCAGAUCACGUGACUCAGAACCUCACACGACCUGCACAAGACCUGAAAAAGCUUCAGGCUUCCAGCCACUUGCCAGCAUGUGGCAGUUCUCCAUACCCUCAGAGCUGCCUUAUUUAUAGCCGCCCACUGCCUUCCCUCAAAGUAACCUUAGCUCUUAACAUCUUGCAAAGUGAUUUAUGUCAACCAAUUAUUAACUGAAGUAUCCGGCAAAACAGAAACUUUGAAAAAAAAAAAAAAAAAAGUGUUGUCUGAGGUUGAGAAAAAAAA